AUACAGCAUAUAGUGGGUCAUUGAAAUAACAGUAAAAUGCAGUUCAAACAGAUGUUGGUUUGAAUAACUCAUUACAUUUCUGCAUGAAGAAACAGACGACACGCA